rnacentral:rRNA from 1 species
AUUGAACGCUGGCGGCAUGCCUUACACAUGCAAGUCGAACGGCAGCACGGGUGCUUGCACCUGGUGGCGAGUGGCGCACGGGUGAGUAAUACAUCGGAACAUGUCCUGUAGUGGGGGAUAGCCCGGCGAAAGCCGGAUUAAUACCGCCUACGAUCUACGGAUGAAAGCGGGGGACCUUCGGGCCUCGCGCUAUAGGGUUGGCCGAUGGCUGAUUAGCUAGUUGGUGGGGUAAAGGCCUACCAAGGCGACGAUCAGUAGCUGGUCUGAGAGGACGACCAGCCACACUGGGACUGAGACACGGCCCAGACUCCUACGGGAGGCAGCAGUGGGGAAUUUUGGACAAUGGGCGAAAGCCUGAUCCAGCAAUGCCGCGUGUGUGAAGAAGGCCUUCGGGUUGUAAAGCACUUUUGUCCGGAAAGAAAUCCUUGGCCCUAAUACGGUCGGGGGAUGACGGUACCGGAAGAAUAAGCACCGGCUAACUACGUG